rnacentral:rRNA from 1 species
UACGUAGGGGGCGAGCGUUGUCCGGAUUUAUUGGGCGUAAAGAGCGUGUAGGCGGCCAGGUAGGUCUGCUGUGAAAACUCGAGGCUCAACCUCGAGACGUCGGCGGAAACCAUCUGGCUAGAGUCCGGAAGAGGAGAGUGGAAUUCCUGGUGUAGCGGUGAAAUGCGCAGAUAUCGGGAGGAACACCGACGGCGAAGGCAGCUUACUGGGCCGAUACUGACGCUGAGGAGCGAAAGCGUGGGGAGCGAACAGG